ensembl:lncRNA
CCAUCUUACACCGGGAUUCCACCGGACGCGUACGCGCCGCAGAACGGCUGCGCCGCGGAACGGCUGCGUCCUCUGCCCUGCGUCCAUUCCUACCGGGCGCGUAAGGCCCCGUGCCCACUACCUCCGCUGGUUGACUGAUCCCCAUUGACUUUGAAUGGGGACGGACGCGCAAUGCAUUGUGGAUCCGUCUGUUCCGUUGGAGCCUUCGGCUCCGUCAGAAAGGUGAAAAAUGUUCAACUUUUUCGGCAGCGACGGAUCCGUCAUCCAAUCAGAUCGCGUAUGCAAAUUUAAGCACUGUGACGCGACUCGGGCUCCGACGAUACUGGAAAGCGGGAAAUCGGGUAAUCUUGCCUCGCAACAAGCAGGAAGAAGCGGGAAGAACCCGGCAAAGCGAUUUGAUUGGCUGACGGAUGCCUCUGCAAAGACUACUCCCCCAUCAGUCAGCCACGCCUUCCCACGUCCGUUGACUGACGGUGCAGUCCCAUUGACUUUGAAUGGGGACGGACGCGUAAUGCAUUGUGGAUCCGUCCGUUCCGUUGGAGCCUUCGGCUCCGUCAAGAAGUUGAAAAAUGUUCAACUUUUUCGGCAGCGACGGAUCCGUCAUCCAAUCAGAUCACGUAUGCAAAUUUAAGCACUGUGACGCGACUCGGGCUCCGACGAUACUGGAAAGCGGGAAAUCGGGUAAUCCUGCCUCGCAACAAGCAGGAAGAAGCGGGAAGAACCCGGCGAAGCGAUUUGAUUGGCUGGAUGUCGCCCUCUUUCGUUUGUGAGAAACAAUUACGAGAAUGGACGAUGAGAGACUGGUCUUCGAGGUGGAAAAAUAUGUCGAAUUGUAUGACCAAAGUACCCGUCAUUACAAAGACAACUCCAAAAAGGUCAUUGCCUGGCGAGCCAUAGCUCUGGAGAUUGGAUCUUCAGGUGAGAAAUCAGCAAUGGUGGACUAAGUACCCAAACCAUUAACCAUAAUGGGAAAUAGACGAAAUCAAGUCACAUAUAAUCACACCAUGUAGGUAGAAACCAGAUUACUUGUGAUAUAUAUUUUUUUAUUUAAGGCAAGGCAACUUCAUUCACAUAGCACUUUUAAUGCAUGAAGCAGACUCAAAGUGCUUCACAUAGAAACAUUCUCAUACAAUAAAAUAGAUAAGUAAAAGAAAACACAGGCAAAGCUCAAAAAUGCAUGUAUUAACUGUCUCUCUGGUAUCAGAUCAUGUAUUACGUAACUGUCUCUCUGGAUUUAAGGAAAAAUAACAUUAAGUGUCUCGAGCACUCAAAUAAAAUACACUGGCUACUGAAUCCAGCACAGCAAUAACAUCACUGUAUUUAUCCCGAGGGAUAAAAAAAAAGUAUAUAUAUAUAUAUGCAAAAGAGUAUACCAGAGAGGGAUAAUAACUAGAUUAUAGGUCAUCAUAUAGGCUGCACCAUAUGGUUCUGCCAUUGCACACUUAGUCGCGAGUUGAAAUAUUGGCGUGCCUCUCAGGAUCUGCACGGAGCUCCUGGACCAGAUUGUGGCAUACCCCCUGUUCUUGCCUCUGUUCAUUGAUGGGGUGCACCCAAACCCUUCGUCUUCUCCUUGCCUGCCUACAGCGCAGGAGAAGAAGGGCAGCCCCCCUCUGUCUGGCAACAGUUAUUUAUUCUGUUGAAAUAAAAAAAACUCAAUAAAAUGUAAAAGAGCUUGCUCAAUUAAAAUGGAUAACUACUGGCUGCAUACAUGUAAAUGUGUGGCUAUGUUAAGGCUAUAUAGAUGGAUAGAUAGAUAGAUAGAUAGAUACUGUAUUGGUCCCAAUGGGGAUCAAUAAAGCCAUCCAGGAGCUCAAUACAAUAAAUACACACAAUAACAAUUGGCCUUAAAAGGUGACUGCACUAUAUACUAAAAAGGCUUAAUAGAAGGUCCUGCAGUUAUUGAGAUUGUUGAUGCAGUAGAUGAAUAAUGGCAAAAUAUAAAAUAAAUAAGAAAUGACAGUAAAUAAAACGAUAAAGUGCCCUUCAAACUAAGUUGAUCUGAUGCUUGAAAAC